UACGUAGGGUGCGAGCGUUGUCCGGAAUUAUUGGGCGUAAAGAGCUUGUAGGCGGUUUGUCGCGUCUGCUGUGAAAUCUCAAGGCUCAACCUUGAGCUUGCAGUGGGUACGGGCAGACUAGAGUGUGGUAGGGGAGACUGGAAUUCCGUGGUGUAGCGGUGAAAUGCGCAGAUAUCAGGAGGAACACCGGUGGCGAAGGCGGGGUCUCUGGGCAGUAACUGACGCUGGAGGAGCGAAAGCGGUGGGGAGCGAACAGG
rnacentral:rRNA from 1 species